UCUCAGAAGAAUAAGGAUUAUUUGGGUUAUUGGAGGGUCAGGAAAAGGGGACUCAAUUUGCCACGAGGCAGUAUAUGUGGGAUGUAGAGCGUGUGAAGAUGACGUGAGCUCUCAUCAAAGAGAUUCAGAGGGAUAGGUCUGUCCCCAGUCUUGGUGUUAACGGACCUCCCACAUGGUUCUUCUGCCUUAGCUUUUGAUGUGAGCAUGAACCAGUCAUGGUGCCUAGAUUUCUGUAAAUGUUGUGUCUUACUUCAUAGGAAUAUUCCACAUAUUGACAGACAAGCAAAACACAGUCAUAAAUGCUCCAAAAAUAGGGAGUCAGAGAUACUUCACUAAGAUUCUCUAACACCAACGGGAAAUAGAACUAUUUCCCAAUCCUCCAUCGAUCCAGUGCCGUGGAUGGACACAACCUCUCGGUGCCCACCUCCAUCCACCUGCUCCUGCGGAGCCUCCAUCCAGAAGGCUGCCCUUCCACACUCCACACCAUCAGCUCUUCUCUCUAGUUUCCCUGUGUCUGCCCUUCCCUGGAACUGUGUUCACACCCCAUUCAAGACCUCAACACCCCGACACGCUCUGUUCUGCCGACAGGCUCCCUGUGAGGCUGUGCCUUCCACGCAGGUGACACCGGGGAUGCAAUCCCAGCAAACAUGCAUCAGGCUCCUGAGUUCCGGACAUGCUCACUCACGGAAUCCUCACAUCCGCCCUACGGUGCACUGUUACCUACACUGUAUGGAUGAAGAAACUGAGGCACCACAAUUUUCAGCAUUUUUACCAAAAGUCUCAAAGGUCCAAGCGGCAGAGCCAGAAUCCGAACUUGGUCUGACUCGGGGGUCUCCGUUCUUCUCUGCACGAGCCGUAUUGGCCCUGGAUAGAAUCCCUGCCUCCGUACAGGUGUUCUGAAAGUGCUUGUUGAGUUAACUGGAACAAACACCCAAAGCUAUACUUAGGAAGUUUUAACUUCAUGGACUAUAGACUCUUAUGUGAAGGAAAUGCUGAUGUAAUGAGUUUGCACCCAUGAGGCAUAGAAGAAAGCUAGGCUUCAUGUGUUUUGUUUUGUUUUAAGAAUGUAUUUAUUUAUUUGAGAGAGAGCAUGAGGGUGGGGGAGGAACAGAGGGACAGGGACAAGCAGGUUCUGCACUGAGUGUAGAGCCCAACAGGGGGCUCACGGCCAGGACCCUGAGAUCCUCACCUGAGCGGAAAUCAAGAGUCACAAGUCCCUUGCGAACAGACUGAGCUGCCCAGGCGCCCCACAUUUAACGCUUUAAAGUCAUUCUGCCAUUAUAUAUAUCAGAAUUUGUGUAGGAUCCUUUUUCCGUUCAGAUACUUUCCUAGCAUGAUGUGAACACACACAACCACAUACUCUACACGUUCCACACACUUCGCGUUCCUAGGCAGGCACAGGCCGGGAGGGCUUGCGGGGGUAAGAUUGCAACACCUCUUUCUGUGUUCUGGUAAGAAAUUCCAAGAGCUCUCAUUUAAAAUGUUCCCUUUGGUGGGAAGCGCCUCACCACGCAGCAUAGAGGAAUGAGAUAAGUGUUAUCAUGGCCAUUGGACUUGACUGUAGUUUAACCCCAAGGUCACUGGGAGGUCAGAGCUAAAGAAGGGAGGGAAUGUUGGCCUCUGAGACCGCUGAGCCUCCUGGCACGUUCACUCCCCCUGUUGGCUUUCCCAAGGAGUGCUGUGUCAGCCUGUACCAGCCCUUCUCGGGGCUGCCAUUCUCCCCACAGGAAGGGAACCAACCCUGCACCGCAUUCCUGAAAGCUUGGGCACCUCCCUGAAUGGCCCUCACUCCUCUUUGCCCCUGCAGCCUGUCUCCAGUUCACACAAAAGACUCUUUCAGAAACUGGUUACCUAGAUUUGAACUUUUCAACGAGGCUUUUUAUUUUUUUUUUUCCUCUAAGCUCUGCAGCUCAAAUACCAGAUUCUGCUGUUGCUAAGAUUAAGGAUUUUCUCCCUCAGCUCAGUUUCCAUUGACUAGGAAAGACCAGGAGAUGGAUUACUGUUCUCUUGCCAAAAGCAGACAGGGUGCUUGAGCUUCUGGGGCUAACACCGGGAUCCGACAUUAUUCAGGCCUGUGCUAAUAGUCCUUAGUUACUCCUCACGCUCUCACAAAAGUCACACGCAUUUGUGUCGGUAACUAAGGCCUACGGAAACCACUCAGCCUUAAGUGCACACAGGAGAACCAUGGAGUCGGAGUAAAAGGUAAUUUAACAUGAAUAUUUAUAUACUGUACAUACUGCGUGCCAUGAUUCACUCAGCGUAUUUUCAGUUUAUGCAUUUGCUUCCCAUUUGCAGUCUUUAUUUAUUACAAAGUUAAGGCCGUUAGCGAAAUAACACAUCAGAGUGGGUUCUCUCCCCCGCCCACCCCCGUCUUUAAAAAAUUUUCCUGCUUUCUAAUCUAUUUCUGGGCAAGUGUGCCAAUAUAGCAACAAAACCGGUCACAGCUGCCAAACCUCAGAGAGAUUCACGGAGUAUUGUACUGCGUGGAGUCUUUGCCAGGCCCGUACCACUGAGGGCUGUGCCCGGCCACCACGUGAGCCCUGUGGCUACGGAGCUGGGGCAGCUCCUAUCCAUCACCUUUAGUGACAGGAAUCACCUGCCGCUCUUUCAAGGUAGGGAUGCAGGCGCCAAGACUGCGGGAGUGUUCACUGGGUGAUGGGAUCUGGAGCUAAAGAAGCUUGGCUUUAGGGCUCAGCACGUCCCCUUACUAGCUCUGGGAUGCCUAGCAAAUGACUUUCUACAUCCUUUCUACAAAUCCUCCGAGUCUCCAUUUUGUCUUCUCGCAAGACGAGCCCAAUACACUCAGUUUGACACGUGGCAAGCUCGAAAUACACAUAUGAUCCUAACAGUAACCCAGAGGUGAUGAGGAAAAGCACGGCGUAGGGGGGGUUAAGUCCCUUCCUUAAUGCACACACCUACUGCAUUUUGGACCGAGUUGUCUGACCCCUGUUUAAUUCAUCCCAAAGCUUACAGUCUGUUCAUAAACAGACACCCACUGCACUAUCUCUUGCCACUUUCUACCAGAAAUAUGUAUUUGAAAUCGGGAAAAUUUGAACUUUUGGGGACUAUGACCUGGAUACAAAUGCUAAGAAUAGGUUAAAGAAAGAGGAAGAAAAAAAAAAAAAAAAGACACAGGUUGUCCUCGUGCCAGUGCCAGAUGAAACGUGCUUUUUAGAAAUGUCAUCCUAAUAUUUUGAUUUGCGCCUGAGCUCCGUUUCUAUGGGAGCUGCGAUUCCCAGCACUCCUUAGCUUCGCGGCUGCCGCCACGGUCUAUCUGUAAACCAGGGAGAUGCAUCUCUCAAUCCCAGGGGAAGAUCUUGCCCAGCUCUGGAUGUCAUUUUCCAAGAGAAGCCGAGAUAUGUUGGGCAAGUCCCGAGGAGGGCCAGCGGAAUGGUGAGGGCUUUAAGAACAUGCUAGGAGAGCAAUGCUUGCUACAUCUCAGACGAAGAGGCAUGAUGUGUGGCAACUAGAUUACUCUCUACCUUUGAGGCUUCAGAUGGACAGUCUCCCACAACAGGUGCGAGGCACGAGGAAAUAGUUUUGGGUUCAAUUGGAGAGAGAGUUUUGAGCCUGAGAACAGUUCAGCAAUAGACUGAGCUCUGCUAAAGGGAAGACUUUUUCAUCUCUAUGGCUGUGCCUGAUGGACUGAGGAGCAAUUAGUAGCCAUGUUCCAAGGGUUUAUACAUGGACAGGAAGAUAACUAAGGUCCCCUCCAGUUCGCAGAUUCCAUCCUCAUGAAAUGUCGGGUGCUUACAGAUGUGCAAAAAGCUUUCCUACACAUAUUUUCUUUCACUUAUUCACAUGCAGUUAGUAAGAGCUGUCGUACUCCCACUAUUUGGCCCAAGGUACAAAAUACACAACAGUUAACAAAUGUUGCUCUCAAGUACCUUAUAGUCUUGUAGGAGAAAUAGACAAGAAGACAGACAUUUGUAACAGAGCAUGGUAAGGGCUGGGAGAGGAAGCACAGAGAAGACUAAAAUAAUACUUGGGGAUGAGAGAAGGCUUCCUGGAGGAAGGGACAUCUAGGAUGUGACCCAGUUGGAAUCAGCUAUGUGAAUAAUGGAGGAGAAUAGCAGGCAAGGCAUUAGCCUGAACCAUAGCUUGGAAGCAUAAAAGAAGAAGGCAGGGCGGUGAGCUGUAAGCAGUUCUGUUUGGCUGGAACAGAGUCUGUGCAGAAGAAAACAGGGACACAAAGAUGAGACUAGAAAAGGAAGUUGUGGUACAUGGUGAAAAUGACCACAUCAUCUUUUCCUCUUAUCAACAGGGGACAUCUCUUCUCAUCUCAUCCUUGAAUCUGAAUCACCUAUGGAACUUGCUUCAGUCAAUGAGAAAUUAGCAACUAUAAGAGAAAGAUCAAGAAGAGGCUAGAAAAAUGCUUUCCCAGAAAAGCUGCUUGCUUUUCUUGGAGACUGGCCCAAUUUUAUAAGUCCAUGAUAACAUGUUGGGUGAUGAGAGACGCUUGCCCCGUGUCUUCUUGAUCAUCCCUGGCCUGUAGUCAACUAUCUUCAGAAGCAGAACUGACCUGCUAUUGACCACAGAUGCGUGAGUGAGCCCAGCAAAGCUCAUUAGAAGAACUUGCCCAGCUGAGCCCAGCCCAAAUUACUGACUCAUAAAAUCAUGAGCUAAAUAAAUGGCGAAUAUUUUAUUCAGCUAAA